rnacentral:rRNA from 1 species
AUUGAACGCUGGCGGCAUGCUUUACACAUGCAAGUCGAACGGUAACAGGCCGCAAGGUGCUGACGAGUGGCGAACGGGUGAGUAAUGCAUCGGAACGUGCCCAGUCGUGGGGGAUAACGCAGCGAAAGCUGUGCUAAUACCGCAUACGAUCUAUGGAUGAAAGCGGGGGACCGUAAGGCCUCGCGCGAUUGGAGCGGCCGAUGUCAGAUUAGGUAGUUGGUGGGGUAAAGGCUCACCAAGCCAACGAUCUGUAGCUGGUCUGAGAGGACGACCAGCCACACUGGGACUGAGACACGGCCCAGACUCCUACGGGAGGCAGCAGUGGGGAACUUUGGACAAUGGGCGCAAGCCUGAUCCAGCAAUGCCGCGUGCAGGAAGAAGGCCUUCGGGUUGUAAACUGCUUUUGUACGGAACGAAACGGUCUGGGUUAAUACCCUGGGCUAAUGACGGUACCGUAAGAAUAAGCACCGGCUAACUACGUGCCAGCAGCCGCGGUAAGAC